rnacentral:rRNA from 1 species
UACAGAGGGUGCGAGCGUUGUCCGGAAUCACUGGGCGUAAAGGGCGCGUAGGUGGCGCUCCAAGUCUGUGGUGAAAGCUCGACGCUCAACGUCGAGUCGGCCAUAGAGACUGGAGGGCUCGAGCACUGUAGGGGCAGAUGGAAUUCCGGGUGUAGCGGUGGAAUGCGUAGAGAUCCGGAAGAACACCGGUGGCGAAGGCGGUCUGCUGGGCCAGUUGCUGGACACUGAGGCGCGACAGCGUGGGGAGCAAACAGG